rnacentral:misc_RNA from 1 species
CUUUUUCAUUUGUCCCAAAUUAUAGGCUACUUUCUAUUUUAAAAUAAUUUAUUUAUCAGUUUACUAAUAUGCUCCUAUUUAAUAUGCAUUGAAAAAAUAAAAUUCAUUAGUUCCAAUAAUAACUUGGUAAUAUGAUUUAAUAAAUUUCUAACAAAGCAAUAUGAGUGGAGGGUAUAUUAGGAAAAGAUUAAACAAAAUUUAUUACUUUAACUAUAUUAAUCACAUUUUCUUAAAUUAUGUGAAAAUAGAGUUUGUCAUUAUAAUUUUUAGUUCCGUUCAUUCAGGAGAGUCAGAAAGGAAUUGCUGUACAUCCUAGAGGCUCGGAAACAACAACAGAUGAGACCACAAGUACUAAGGUAUAGUUUCAAACAUAAGCAUUUGCACAAAAUCCAUUCAUGGAAAUGUGCACAUACUAUACUUGGACCAAAAUACACUACAGAGAUUC